UACGGGGGGGGCAAGCGUUGUUCGGAAUUACUGGGCGUAAAGGGCUCGUAGGCGGCCAACUAAGUCGGAUGUGAAAUCCCCCGGCUCAACCGGGGAACUGCAUCGGAUACUGGUGGACUCGAGAGUUGUAGGGGUGGACGGAACUCCAGGUGGAGCGGUGAAAUGCGUAGAUAUCUGGAGGAACACCGGAGGCGAAAGCGGUCCACUGGGCAACUUCUGACGCUGAGGUGCGAAAGCUAGGGUAGCAAACGGG
rnacentral:rRNA from 1 species